rnacentral:rRNA from 1 species
ACAAAAAUGCACAUAUUGUGAGCUCGAUGAGUAGGGCGGGACACGUGGUAUCCUGUCUGAAUAUGGGGGGCCCAUCCUCCAAGGCUAAAUACUCCUGACUGACCGAUAGUGAACCAGUACCGUGAGGGAAAGGCGAAAAGAACCCCGGCGAGGGGAGUGAAAAAGAACCUGAAACCGUGUACGUACAAGCAGUGGGAGCACGCUUAGGCGUGUGACUGCGUACCUUUUGUAUAAUGGGUCAGCGACUUAUAUUCUGUAGCAAGGUUAACCGAAUAGGGGAGCCGAAGGGAAACCGAGUCUUAACUGGGCGUUAAGUUGCAGGGUAUAGACCCGAAACCCGGUGAUCUAGCCAUGGGCAGGUUGAAGGUUGGGUAACACUAACUGGAGGACCGAACCGACUAAUGUUGAAAAAUUAGCGGAUGACUUGUGGCUGGGGGUGAAAGGCCAAUCAAACCGGGAGAUAGCUGGUUCUCCCCGAAAGCUAUUUAGGUAGCGCCUCGUGAAUUCAUCUCCGGGGGUAGAGCACUGUUUCGGCAAGGGGGUCAUCCCGACUUACCAACCCGAUGCAAACUGCGAAUACCGGAGAAUGUUAUCACGGGAGACACACGGCGGGUGCUAACGUCCGUCGUGAAGAGGGAAACAACCCAGACCGCCAGCUAAGGUCCCAAAGUCAUGGUUAAGUGGGAAACGAUGUGGGAAGGCCCAGACAGCCAGGAUGUUGGCUUAGAAGCAGCCAUCAUUUAAAGAAAGCGUAAUAGCUCACUGGUCGAGUCGGCCUGCGCGGAAGAUGUAACGGGGCUAAACCAUGCACCGAAGCUGCGGCAGCGACGCUUAUGCGUUGUUGGGUAGGGGAGCGUUCUGUAAGCCUGCGAAGGUGUGCUGUGAGGCAUGCUGGAGGUAUCAGAAGUGCGAAUGCUGACAUAAGUAACGAUAAAGCGGGUGAAAAGCCCGCUCGCCGGAAGACCAAGGGUUCCUGUCCAACGUUAAUCGGGGCAGGGUGAGUCGACCCCUAAGGCGAGGCCGAAAGGCGUAGUCGAUGGGAAACAGGUUAAUAUUCCUGUACUUGGUGUUACUGCGAAGGGGGGACGGAGAAGGCUAUGUUGGCCGGGCGACGGUUGUCCCGGUUUAAGCGUGUAGGCUGGUUUUCCAGGCAAAUCCGGAAAAUCAAGGCUGAGGCGUGAUGACGAGGCACUACGGUGCUGAAGCAACAAAUGCCCUGCUUCCAGGAAAAGCCUCUAAGCAUCAGGUAACAUCAAAUCGUACCCCAAACCGACACAGGUGGUCAGGUAGAGAAUACCAAGGCGCUUGAGAGAACUCGGGUGAAGGAACUAGGCAAAAUGGUGCCGUAACUUCGGGAGAAGGCACGCUGAUAUGUAGGUGAAGUCCCUUGCGGAUGGAGCUGAAAUCAGUCGAAGAUACCAGCUGGCUGCAACUGUUUAUUAAAAACACAGCACUGUGCAAACACGAAAGUGGACGUAUACGGUGUGACGCCUGCCCGGUGCCGGAAGGUUAAUUGAUGGGGUCAGCGCAAGCGAAGCUCUUGAUCGAAGCCCCGGUAAACGGCGGCCGUAACUAUAACGGUCCUAAGGUAGCGAAAUUCCUUGUCGGGUAAGUUCCGACCUGCACGAAUGGCGUAAUGAUGGCCAGGCUGUCUCCACCCGAGACUCAGUGAAAUUGAACUCGCUGUGAAGAUGCAGUGUACCCGCGGCAAGACGGAAAGACCCCGUGAACCUUUACUAUAGCUUGACACUGAACAUUGAGCCUUGAUGUGUAGGAUAGGUGGGAGGCUUUGAAGUGUGGACGCCAGUCUGCAUGGAGCCGGCCUUGAAAUACCACCCUUUAAUGUUUGAUGUUCUAACGUGGACCCGUGAUCCGGGUUGCGGACAGUGUCUGGUGGGUAGUUUGACUGGGGCGGUCUCCUCCUAAAGAGUAACGGAGGAGCACGAAGGUUGGCUAAUCCUGGUCGGACAUCAGGAGGUUAGUGCAAUGGCAUAAGCCAGCUUGACUGCGAGCGUGACGGCGCGAGCAGGUGCGAAAGCAGGUCAUAGUGAUCCGGUGGUUCUGAAUGGAAGGGCCAUCGCUCAACGGAUAAAAGGUACUCCGGGGAUAACAGGCUGAUACCGCCCAAGAGUUCAUAUCGACGGCGGUGUUUGGCACCUCGAUGUCGGCUCAUCACAUCCUGGGGCUGAAGUAGGUCCCAAGGGUAUGGCUGUUCGCCAUUUAAAGUGGUACGCGAGCUGGGUUUAGAACGUCGUGAGACAGUUCGGUCCCUAUCUGCCGUGGGCGCUGGAGAACUGAGGGGGGCUGCUCCUAGUACGAGAGGACCGGAGUGGACGCAUCACUGGUGUUCGGGUUGUCAUGCCAAUGGCACUGCCCGGUAGCUAAAUGCGGAAGAGAUAAGUGCUGAAAGCAUCUAAGCACGAAACUUGCCCCGAGAUGAGUUCUCCCUGACCCUUUAAGGGUCCUGAAGGAACGUUGAAGACGACGACGUUGAUAGGCCGGGUGUGUAAGCGCAGCGAUGCGUUGAGCUAACCGGUACUAAUGAACCGUGAGG